CUUGGUCGCUUUUGUUCAAGAUGUAGGAGCCACACAACAGGCUGGGGAGGUUAUUGGUAAGAAAGCAGUAAUCAUAAGUAGGUGGCUGUUAGGACACUUUACAGCCAAGGUCUUACCCACUCCUCUGCCUGACAUUGAGUCUCAUCCAAAUACAAAUGAUGGUGGCUGACUCCCUUGUUAUAGCAAGCUAACAGCCUUUUUGCUUUUCUCAUUUUAUUGUCUUUAUUCCCAGUUAUCACCAUCUGAUCAUUAGCCAGUGGACUUUUGCUUGAAGCAUGAAC
rnacentral:lncRNA from 1 species